UGUAGCUCAGUGGUCAAGUGUGUGCCUAGCAAGCAUGGGGCCCUGGGUUCAAUCCCCCAGACCAA
rnacentral:tRNA from 1 species